GUGGGGAAUAUUGGGCAAUGGGCGAAAGCCUGACCCAGCAACGCCGCGUGAGGGAAGAAGGCCUUCGGGUUGUAAACCUCUGUCCUUGGUGACGAAAAAAAUGACGGUAGCCAAGGAGGAAGCCCCGGCUAACUACGUGCCAGCAGCCGCGGUAAUACGUAGGGGGCGAGCGUUGUCCGGAAUUACUGGGCGUAAAGGGUGCGUAGGUGGCCUUUUAAGUUGGAUGUGAAAUCCCCGGGCUUAACUUGGGUGGUGCAUCUAAUACUGGAGGGCUAGAGUGCAGGAGAGGGAAGCGGAAUUCCUAGUGUAGCGGUGAAAUGCGUAGAUAUGCGGAGGAACACCGAUGGCGAAGGCAAUCCCCUGGGCCUGCACUGACGCUCAUGCACGAAAGCGUGGGGAGCAAACAGGAUUAGAAACCCCUGUAGUCC
rnacentral:rRNA from 1 species